UGGGAACUAAGCUGUGAACCAUUCCAGGAA
rnacentral:piRNA from 1 species